UAGAGUUUGAUCCUGGCUCAGAUUGAACGCUGGCGGCAGGCCUAACACAUGCAAGUCGAACGGUAACAGGAAGAAGCUUGCUUCUUUGCUGACGAGUGGCGGACGGGUGAGUAAUGUCUGGGAAACUGCCUGAUGGAGGGGGAUAACUACUGGAAACGGUAGCUAAUACCGCAUAACGUCGCAAGACCAAAGAGGGGGACCUUCGGGCCUCUUGCCAUCGGAUGUGCCCAGAUGGGAUUAGCUAGUAGGUGGGGUAACGGCUCACCUAGGCGACNAUCCCUAGCUGGUCUGAGAGGAUGACCACCCCNCUGGAACUGANACACNGUCCNACUCNUNCGGGACCAACA
rnacentral:rRNA from 1 species